UUUAUCAAAUUAUUAUACCAGUGCCAUCCUGUGCAAAAACCUAUACAAUGUGGGAUUGCAUCAUAGAAAUCCACCAAAACCAACCACUUUUCAGGUAAAUUUCCUUGCACCGAAAGAAGAAAAAGAGAGCAAGGUAUGAUCUCUAACCAAUAGAAUGCCACUUACUUCUUUCUCCUACAAGUAAGUGAAGAACUGUGGUUAUUAGGAGCUGUAAUUGAUUCUGAAGCUGAUGCUUAGAAUAUGCCCUUUUUUGCCAUUGGCUUACUUAUUGAGUUGCGAGUUACCUAUUAUCUCUGUAUUUUACCUCCAAUUUCAUUUUGAAGAUUCCUUUAAGCAUUUAGGAUAAAAUGGGAAACCAAGCGAACAUACGUGGAAAGAUGCAGGAAAAUAACACGCAACCUUUAUGAGUUGGAUCUUGCCAAAUGUUUGGUCAGUUCGGUUUUGACUGUAUGUGGUAACUAUGCCAAGGACAAUAUAGACUAGCAUCAGCGGCGUUUUUUGUUACUGGUUAUAUUCAAGAUAAAAAGUGUAUGGGCAAAACCGUCACACAUGCUGGCACAGGGUGUGUGGAAGCCUUGGAUGCUGAUCAUUACUUGCAAGAGCUCGAUGACAAUGAAGAGGAAAAUAAGGCUCGCCAACAAGUAUGUAAUCAAGAAUGGAGCUUAACUGUCAGUCCCCUGAAUUUUUAUAGCAUCUGAAAGUUGACUUUAUCUGCAUUGUUCAUUAUAGUAUUCCGUUCAGGUUCAUCUUUAAGUUCGUUUGUUCUCAGGGAGCUUGCACUGCUGCCCCUGCUAUUGGCUAUCAAUUGUCAAGUCCCAGUUUAUGAGUACAAAUCAAAAGAAACAAUUUUCAAAGACUUCAUCCUGUCCUUAACAGGAUGUUUUACCUAAAGUGGCCUGGCAGCUAAAGCUUUACAGCGCACAAUUUCUGCCCUUGCAAGUUUUAGUGAUUUCAACGAUAAUAUGCUUAUGCAUGUUAGCUUAAGGGAAGAACAUGCCAGAAUAAGCUGAAUACUCAUAAGUGAUCCCAUGAUCGUAACAUUUAGUAGUUGUUUUGGUUACGAUAUCCAGUGUGAAUUUGUUUCCAGAAUAUUUUUGGUCAUUGAGAUAUCUUUCUGCAACUUUGUGCAUGAUUUUAUCAGUAUUCAAGGGAGAAAUGCAACUUAAAAUUCUAAUGUGAAAUGUGAGAGCUUUAUGCAGGAUUACGAAGAAAGUGAAACUCUUCAAGGUGAAGAUUUACACAAGUUUUCAGCAGAAACACCUUAAAAGUUUGGUGAUAGGCAGGCUAAAGGAGAAAUUAAGGAUUUUUACUUUUAUCAUACUAGAUAGGGGGCACAACGGGGUUCAUCCAAACCCCCUUUUCCGGAAAAAUAUACUUCUUUUUUUAUGUUUAUAGAGAUAGAUAUUGAAUUCCCUUGUCUUCUUCGUGUCCUUACUUCUAUAUAUAUUAAACCCUUUUACUGAAAAUCCUGGUUCUGCCACCAUCUUGUAGUUGUUCAGAAAAUGAGGCAAUGCAUGGAAAUUUCUAAAGAACAACUUCAGGAAUGAAGUGUUUGCAUGUAAUGUCUGUUUCUCCACGGCAAUGUCUCCCGUGUUUUCUUCUCCUCAUCCCCUACUUAUUCUGAGAUUGAAGAAGAAAUCAGAGACUAGUACUGCAGAUAAAGUACAAAAGAAAGCUCAUGAUGUGAAGACAAUGACUAAAGACACGAUGGAUUCUAUAGAGGGAAUUCUGAAAAGAUGCUUGAAAAGUGCAUCUAUGAUUACUUGGUUAAGAAGGGGAUGCGUGAGUCUGCCGAUGCAUUCGCGCGUGGAGUUGCUGUUGAAAAUCCCACAGAUGAUGCUAUAAAAUCUUCAGGGGCAUUUCUCACGAAGUGGUGGAAUAUGUUAUAUGAUAAGCUCAUCUCUAAUCAUUCCUCCCAAGAUCCUUUUGCUGAGGCUGCACGUACUAUGGACAAUGUGGUACCUCAAGUCCCUUAUGCUGUGCCAGCACCUUCUUCUCAUUCUGUUACACCAGUUAGCUCUCCUACGAUGCCAGAUCCUUCUGAAGCAGGCUCUUCCACCGCCUCCUGCUCUGGGAUGCAGCAGACUCCCUAAUCAAAUCAAGAUCUUGAUUUCCUGAUCUUGCUCUUGGCAUGGAAUUAAGAAGAUUGGGAAAGAUGCUGACUUGCAGAAAGCUAUAAUAGAUGAUACUGAAAAGAAAAAGAAAAGGAAAGCUACAUAUCUCAAAGAGAUGAUAUCUAAUAAGUGCAAGCAAUUUGUAUGGUGCUUUGAAACAUAGAUGAUAUCUAAUAAGGAGUAUGCUUAUUGAGGAAUUAGAGCUUGUAGAUCUGUUAGGCUCUCUACGUCUCUUUGAUUUCUAGGCCUCAUUCUACUAGAAGCAAGAUAAUGUGUUUCCACUUUUAUCACAAGGAAAGUGUUGGUUGAUAUUGGGCAUGUGUUGGCUGAUGGCACUAUGGCACUAUGUGACUCAACUUAUUCAUGUCAAAGGGUUGUUGAUUUGAUGUCAUUUCAGCCUCAGGUGGCAUAAGUUGGCAUUUCUCAAGAGCAUUCUCGGCCAAAAAAUUUGAUUCAGGUUUCCCUUAUAUCACAUGAACACUUGAUCUAAUAGGAAACUAAAUAAACAUGGUUUGAUCAUCUCCUGGCUUUGAAAUAGAUAUUUUGUUGGAUGUCAACUCCUAUUGACAUAAAGUCAAGACUAGAGGAUGGCAUCGAAUGGAAUAUAGGACAAAAAUUUGGCAUCACAAGGAAGAUUUUAAUUAGAUUCUGUAAAAGUAGGCCAAAUGAUUGCAUCAUGUGAUAUUUGUUAAUCUUGCAAAAUUAACAGCAAAGGAUUGCAUUACAAAAGGGAUAUAAGGUACCACAUUUUCCCUGGUUUGUGUAGCUUGCGAAAUUAAAGAAUCAUUCUUUCAAAUUACAAUUUCCUUAGAAAAGUGAUUUUAACUUGAAAAGUUUAGGUAACACCUCAUCAUAGGAUUCUUGGGCAUGCUCGGGUGGUUCACGAUGAAUAUUUCACAAAAUACAUCCCAUCGCUCCAUUAGAAGUUUAUGUGGAGAAUUGAUAUAUAUAAAGCAUCUCCCAGAAUGAACUUGAAAUUCAUGGGUCUGUUUGCAAUUUGUUUCCUCUUAUCAAUUCUUCAAAGGGAUUUCUAGCAGAAUGGUGGAAUAUAUUCAUCUUUAAUCACUCCGAGCAUGCCAAGAGACCUAUGAUGCGUUACAUAAACUUUUCUACGUCAAAUUCAUUUUUGAGGCAAUUAUAAAUCUGAUGCAUGAUUCAUUAUAUUCUAAGGCUACACUAAAGUGAAUGUGCUACCUUAUAUCCUUUUUGUACUACCAAACUUUACUCCCAACUCUGCAAGAACAAAUAUUUUUCCUGUGAUGCUAUUGUUUGGUCCUAAUUUUAUAGAACCAAUCUUUUUUGUGAUUACCUAAUAUAUCUCCUAUGAUGCCUUACUUUAGAUCUAACUCUAUGCCAAUUAGGGGUAAACAUCCUGAAAAGUAUCUAUUUACCCAUGCUAAAGCUAUGAGAUAUUCAACUGACGUUUACUCAGUUUUCUAUUGGAUCUGAUGUUCAAAUGAUGCAAGGGCAGACUGAAUCAUACUGUAAGGCUACCUUAUGAUACUUGCUGAUGAAGUGGCAUCCAAUUUACUAUUUAUAGAGAUGGAUAAGACAAGUCACAUGGGCAUCCACAACAUGAUGUAGAUAACAUGUGUCAAGAACUUACCUUUUUGGAAAAGUUGCGGAAUGUACAUGAGUAGGAUCAAACCUUAUGCCUUUUAUUUAUAUGAGGUACCUCUUUAAAGAACUCCCCAAGAGGGCUUAAGCUCGUUGGAUUUGAAGCAGCAGACCUGCAACACUCAGUCCGUCCUUUUUAGUUCAAAGAAUGGAGAAGCAAAUUGGAAUUUUGAUAAUUUUAUUGACGGAUUGGUAAGAAGCCAAUUGUAUAGGGUUCCAAACCUAUUGUCUAAUAAGAGGAAAGGGGCAAGCCAAUAUUGACUCCUAGAAAAAUAUAAAUCAUUGGACAACAAGGAACCAUCAUAUAUUGACGUUGCACAUGACUCAAUCAACUCAACUCAAGGUCUUACGCUAAUAGAAGCUUCUUACUUUCCUAUUAGCGAAAGAAAAUAACUGGAAAAUAAAUGAUUGAGCGUCAACUUAGUGAUACUUGCAACAAAAUUCAAGAGGAGCAAAUGGUGAAGCAGUUUGAAAAAAGAAAUCUGCAAAAAAUCAGACCCCUGUGUUGGAAGCUCGGAGCAGCUGAAGCAUCUGUCUUAAAAUAAGCACCGUGCCCUCUUUUCGGUGACUACUUUCUCUUAUUUGUUGGCUGAAUUUUUUUUGGGCGUCCGUGACGACCUUAUUAAUGAAGCGUGUUGGUCAGAAGGGGAAAAGUAGGCAUUUUCAAGUUCAAACGAGGCUCGAAACAGGAAAUAUCAAUUUUUCCAUUUUUCGUGUGCUAAGUCCAUAUAUUUUGGGUGCUAUUUGAUCUCGACUAGCUUUUGGCCAAUUUUCUUUGCAAGUGUUCGCGAUGACCUUUUUAAUGACGUGUGUUGGUCCAAAACGUAGGCAUUCUCAAUUUCAAACGAGGCUCAGAACAAGAAAUAUCGAUUUUUUCCAUUUUUCGUGUGUUAUUGUUCAUGCAUUUUGGGUGAUAAUUUAUCCUAAUGGAGUUUUGGCAGAAACAUUUAAUGGGUGUUCAUGAUGAGCUUAUUAAUGACGCGCGUAUGCGCAAAUGUAGACAUUUUCAAGUUUAAACUAGGUUCGGAACAAGAAAUACCAAUUUUUUCAUUUUUCGUGUA